AGAGAGAGACAUGCGCGCAUAUCAAUAAGCGGAGGAAAAGAAACUAACAAGGAUUCCCCUAGUAACGGCGAGUGAAGCGGGAAGAGCUCAAAUUUGAAAUCUUAAAGGGUUUCCCUUUACGAAUUGUAGUUUAAAGAAGUGUUUUCUGUUGAGGUUUUGGUAAAAGUUCUUUGGAAUAGGACAUCAUAGAGGGUGAGAAUCCCGUAUUUGACCUUUACUUUCAACUUUGUGAUACACUUUCAAAGAGUCGGAUUGUUUGGGAAUGCAGUCCAAAAUGGGUGGUAAAUUUCAUCUAAAGCUAAAUAUUGGCGAGAGACCGAUAGCGAACAAGUACCGUGAGGGAAAGAUGAAAAGAACUUUGAAAAGAGAGUUAAACAGUACGUGAAAUUGUCAAAAGGGAAGCGUUUGACACCAGUGUUGUUUUUCUGAAAAUCAAUUAAAGAACUGUUUAUGCUAAGUUGUUUAGACUUUAUCAGCUAAUCUGUUUAGUUUUGAGCUUUUCUUUAAUGCACUUUUCAGUUAACAAGUCAACAUCAAUUUCUUUUGCUGUAAAAAAGCUUGAGGGAAGGUGGCUUGAGAUUCGUCUUAAGUGUUUAUAGCCUCUUGCCUAUGCAGUCGGAGAGAUUGAGGUCUGCAGCGUAGAUCCUUCGGGGCUAAAUGCAUUUGUGCUAAGUUAUACAUUUUAUAGACAACUUGUUGACUAUGAUUUGUCUUGUAGCUUACUCGCUUAUGUUAUUUUACCUACGCUUAGGAUGUUGACGCAUGAGAUAUACGC
rnacentral:rRNA from 1 species